CAAUAGCGUAUAUUAAAGUUGUUGCAGUUAAAAAGCUCGUAGUUGGAUUUCUGGCAGGAGCAACCGGUCACUCACUCUGUGUGUGAACUUGUGUUGUCUCUGGCCAUCCUCGGGGAGAUCUUGUUUGGCAUUAAGUUGUCGGGCAGGGGAUACCCGUCGUUUACUGUGAGAAAAUUAGAGUGUUUAAAGCAGGCUUAUGCCGUUGAAUAUAUUAGCAUGGAAUAAUAAGAUAGGACUUCGGAACUAUUUUGUUGGUUUGCGUUACGAAGUAAUGAUUAAUAGGGACAGUUGGGGGUAUUCGUAUUUCGUUGUCAGAGGUGAAAUUCUUGGAUUUCCGAAAGACGAACUACUGCGAAAGCAUUUACCAAGGAUGUUUUCAUUAA
rnacentral:rRNA from 1 species